CGGCAACAGCUCAAAUUUGAAAUCUGCCCGCAAGGGCCGAGUUGUAAUUUGUAGAGGAUGCUUCUGGCGCGGUGCCUUCCGAGUUCCCUGGAACGGGACGCCACAGAGGGUGAGAGCCCCGUAUGGUCGGACACCAAGCCUGUGUGAAGCUCCUUCGAC
rnacentral:rRNA from 1 species